rnacentral:rRNA from 1 species
CCUACGGGUGGCAGCAGUGAGGAAUAUUGGUCAAUGGUCGGAAGCCUGAACCAGCCAAGCCGCGUGAGGGAUGAAGGUACAGAGUAUCGUAAACCUCUUUUGUCAGGGAACAAAGGCGGGGACGUGUCCCCGUAUGAGUGUACCUGAAGAAAAAGCAUCGGCUAACUCCGUGCCAGCAGCCGCGGUAAUACGGAGGAUGAGGUCGUUAUCCGGAUUUAUGGGGUUUAAAGGGUGCGCAGCCGGUAUGUUAAGUCAGCGGUCAAAGCCCGGGGCCAAACCCCGCCCCGCAGUUGAAACUGGCAGUCUCGAGUUGGCGAGAGGCAUGCGGAAUGCGCGGUGUAGCGGUGAAAUGCAUAGAUAUCGCGCAGAACUCCGAUUGCGAAGGCAGCCUGCCGGAUCCACACUGACGCUGAGGCACGAAAGCGUGGGUAUCGAACAGGAUUAGAUACCCUUGUAGUC